rnacentral:lncRNA from 1 species
UUCCUUCUUCACUCUCCCGAUCUCACCCUCACUACUGCCCUCUCCCUCUUUCUCAUGGCCACGCGCCUCUUGCCCGUUUGCUCGCCUACAUGUUGCUCAGUUACCUAGGCCGUUCCUUGAAGCGUUGUAAGUAGAACUUGCUAAUAUUUGGUUAGGGUGUUGUGUUACGCUAAUCCAAGCGUAUGAUGAGUCCUUGAUUGAAAUGUUGUAACUAUAUUCUUGCUUGAGGUUUGGUUGUGGUUGCUUGGAUCAGUUUAGACCUUGUUCCUUGAUUGAAUUCAAUUUUUGUUAGAUGAGCUUUGGCUCGUGCUUUGCUUUGAGUUGCUUUGGAAGAAGCCCGGUUCAUGUGUUUAUUGGAUAUGCUUUGGUUUUUUCCUUAAUACAAAUCUAUUUGAAAAGUGUUUUUAUGAAAGCUUGGUAUUUCCUUACAAAACUAUUUCUAACCGUUUUUACAAAUGCAUGUUCUAGUUCACGCGCCGAGCUCCGAAAAGAGGUUUCGUUGGCCUUGAACGUAAGUGGGAUCACGUCAGAUUAGUCCUUUCAUGGUCUCAGUGCGAUAUCGAGGUAUACCAUUCCCGAGCCAAAUUAGGUACUAGAUCAAUGCUCAAAAGUGUCGGAUCAAGCUGUGAUCCUUAAUUCACACCCGGCAUGUACAACGUCUCGAUUUCGAUAAGCCAUUUUCACACACUUAUGCAUGGCACGCCUUCGAGCCCUUGAACUAAAAGUGAAUAUAAGAACUAGAUUGUGAUGCUUGAUGCAUGGACACACGAUAGACUAAUUUAUGCCAUCGACCAAUAGAUUCGGCGACAAUGCCCCCUCGCCAAUGGGAUGCCUCGUUAAUAAGAACAAGAUGCCUCCCACGCCAACGGAAUGCCUCAUCAAAAGGACGAGAUGUUGUAAUAAUUGUAGCCGUCACCCUUCGAUUAGGGGACGUUGCCCAAUUAAGUUCGGAUGCCCAAUGAAUUCCGAAAGAAUUGAUGGAUUUCAACUAUUAAUAAAUGAAUCUUAGGUGCAUGAUUUUCUCAUAUUACAGAAUGGAACUUGGUUAUGCUUGCAUAAUGUUGAGUGAGGCGUAAAUUCCUCAUACUAUGAAAUGGAUCUUAUUUAUACUUGUAUAAUAUUGAGUGAGGCGUGAGUUCUUCAUGUUGUGGAUGGAUAUUGGUUUAUGCUUGCAUACUGUUGAUUGAAGAUUUCUCAUGUUUCAUCCAAGACAAAACUUUUGUUUUGCUAUUGAUCUGUCAUCGACUAAUGUUUUGGAUGAAUUAAAUGCUUGUUGAUAGGCAAGACAUCCUCCUACCCGGAAAUUAGUGGGUUUUACUUGCUGAGUUUAUGAUUCACCCCGUUGUUUUUUAGAAUUGUAGGCAUUGAGGUCUCCUACUAGUGCUGGAGUUGCAGUCUUGCUAGAGGAGCUAAGGUUUACUCGGUCUUUGGAGCAUAGAAAAUGUAGUGAUUGUAAAUAUAAUGGCCCGUGACAAAUGGGCCUAUAAAUAUAACUGAUAUAUUUGGGAGUUGUUUGUAACGCUUGCACAUGUGCUUAAUGAAAAAAUAAAAAGAACGGGAUGGCAACGAGCCUAGGACGUUGUGAAAAUAACCCCCACUAAUCACGACCCUGGGAAUGGAGUCGGGGUCGUUACACUUGUGUUGGUC